UAUCACCCCUCAAGCCCGGCUUGUUGCUGAGCGACGGCGGUCGUCGAUCGAUCGCCCGCCCCAAAGAUAAUGAGGCGUCCGUGAGGACUCCAGUACACUGAGCUUCUUCGGAGCACGUAUUGGCGAGGACUCCAGGCCCGGUCUUGACUAUUUAUUCAAAAGUUGACCUCGGAUCAGGUAGGGAUACCCGCUGAACUUAA
rnacentral:misc_RNA from 1 species